rnacentral:misc_RNA from 1 species
ACUAUGACAACAAAGACAAAUUCUCUGCAGAAACCAACAAAUGCAUUAAUUUUCGUUUUAAGUGAUUAGGUCUACUCCUCCCUCUAAAAUUUGAAAUCCUUCUUCUUUGAUUUCCCCUCCUUUUCUUGCACCUUUCGCUUCCUUUUCUUUUCAUUCUCUGCAACCAUAUCACUGAAAUCCUCACGUUGGCUACGCAUUUUCUCCUCCUCUCUUGCUUCCUCGUACUUCGCUGGCAAAACAUUGUCCAAAGCAUCCAAUUCUUCAGGUUGUAGAGUGACAUCAACUCUAUCUGUUUUCUGGC